rnacentral:rRNA from 1 species
CCCCAGGUCAGGCGGGACUACCCGCUGAGUUUAAGCAUAUCAAUGAGCGGAGGAAAAAAUCACU